CGGGAAAAGCUCAAAUUUAAAAUCUGGUAGUCUUUGGCUGCCCGAGUUGUAAACUAGAGAAGUGUUAUCCGUAUUGGACCAUGUAAAAGUCUCCUGGAAUGGAGCAUCAUAGAGGGUGAGAAUCCCGUCUUGGAC
rnacentral:rRNA from 1 species